ACUCCUACGGGAGGCAGCAGUAGGGAAUCUUCCACAAUGGGCGGCAAGCCUGAUGGAGCAACACCGCGUGAGUGAAGAAGGGUUCGGCUCGUAAAGCUCUGUUGUUAAAGAAGAACACGUAUGAGAGUAACUGUUCAUACGUUGACGGUAUUUAACCAGAAAGUCACGGCUAACUACGUGCCAGCAGCCGCGGUAAUACGUAGGUGGCAAGCGUUAUCCGGAUUUAUUGGGCGUAAAGAGAGUGCAGGCGGUUUUCUAAGUCUGAUGUGAAAGCCUUCGGCUUAACCGGAGAAGUGCAUCGGAAACUGGAUAACUUGAGUGCAGAAGAGGGUAGUGGAACUCCAUGUGUAGCGGUGGAAUGCGUAGAUAUAUGGAAGAACACCAGUGGCGAAGGCGGCUACCUGGUCUGCAACUGACGCUGAGACUCGAAAGCAUGGGUAGCGAACAGGAUUAGAUACCCUGGUAGGAUAGCG
rnacentral:rRNA from 1 species